AGGGGUCAGAGUCCAAAGAUCAUUCUUGUGGAAAUGACUCAACUGAAAUGUCCUGAAUGACAUUCAGGUAGGGCAAGACAAGAAGAACCUUUAAGGACUCAUUUCAACAGAUUCUAUUACCCAGGUUACCUUUACUAUACACUCUAAGUAACAGAACAAAAGAGUCUUGGAGUUGGAACAAACAGACUGUGAAAAGAAAUGGUAGUACUAGAUCAGAGAUUCUACACCUGGCAUCCAUAAAGAGAUUUCAAGGAGUCUGUGAACUUGGAAUGGUUUCUGAGAAACCUGAGAAGACCUGUAAGA